UACGUAGGUGGCAAGCGUUACUCGGAAUCACUAGGCGUAAAGCGCAGGUAGGCGGUUGGGUAAGUCCUUUGUGAAAGCUCCCGGCUUAACUGAGAGAGGCCAAGGGAAACUACCCGGCUAGAGUGUGGUAGAGGAAACUGGAAUUCCCGGUGUAGCGGUGAAAUGCGUAGAGAUCGGGAGGAACACCUAUGGCGAAAGCAGGUUUCUGGGCCAUCACUGACGCUGAGCUGCGAAAGCUAGGGGAG
rnacentral:rRNA from 1 species